GGUGAACGCUGGCGGCGUGCCUAAGACAUGCAAGUCGAGCGGGGCAGGUUUAUACCUGUUCAGCGGCGGACGGGUGAGUAACGCGUUGGUGACCUACCCGGAAGAGGCGGACAACCUGGGGAAACCCAGGCUAAUCCGCCAUGUGGUCCUGUCCUGUGGGGCAGGACUAAAGGGGCGACCCGCUUCCGGAUGGGCCCGCGUCCCAGCAGCUAGUUGGUGGGGUAAAGGCCCACCACGGCGACGACGGGUAGCCGGUCUGAGAGGAUGGCCGGCCACAGGGGGACAGAGAGACGGGCCCAACGCCAACGGGAGGAAGCAGUUAGGAAGCUGGCGAAAUGGACGGAAGGCUGACGGAGCGACGACGCUAGGAGGAGGAAGCACUGAGGGGUGUAAACUCCUGAACUGGGGACGAAAGCCCCGUGUAGGGGGAUGACGGUACCCAGGUAAUAGCGCCGGCCAACUACGUG
rnacentral:rRNA from 1 species